rnacentral:rRNA from 1 species
UGAGCUUGAUCCUGGCUCAGGAUGAACGCUAGCGGCAGGCUUAACACAUGCAAGUCGAGGGGUAUUUAUCUUCGGAUAGAGAGACCGGCGCACGGGUGCGUAACGCGUAUGCAAUCUACCUUUUACAGAGGGAUAGCCCAGAGAAAUUUGGAUUAAUACCUCAUAGUAUAAUGACUCGGCAUCGAGAUAUUAUUAAAGUCACAACGGUAAAAGAUGAGCAUGCGUCCCAUUAGCUAGUUGGUAAGGUAACGGCUUACCAAGGCUACGAUGGGUAGGGGUCCUGAGAGGGAGAUCCCCCACACUGGUACUGAGACACGGACCAGACUCCUACGGGAGGCAGCAGUGAGGAAUAUUGGACAAUGGGCGCAAGCCUGAUCCAGCCAUGCCGCGUGCAGGAUGACGGUCCUAUGGAUUGUAAACUGCUUUUAUACGAGAAGAAACACUGCUUCGUGAAGCAGCUGACGGUAUCG